CCUACGGGUGGCAGCAGUGAGGAAUAUUGCACAAUGGGGGAAACCCUGAUGCAGCAACGCCGCGUGGGUGAAGGAGCGUUUCGGCGCGUAAAGCCCUGUCAGCGGGGAAGAAGAAAGACGGUACCCGACCAAGAAGCCCCGGCUAACUACGUGCCAGCAGCCGCGGUAAUACGUAGGGGGCGAGCGUUAUCCGGAAUUACUGGGUGUAAAGGGAGCGUAGGCCGGCUUUUAAGUCAGCUGUGAAAGUCCGCGGCUCAACCGUGGAAUUGCAGUUGAAACUGGAGGCCUUGAGUGCACACAGGGAUGCCGGAAUUCAUGGUGUAGCGGUGAAAUGCUUAGAUAUCAUGAAGAACUCCGAUCGCGAAGGCAAGUGUCCGGGGUGCAACUGACGCUGAGGCUCGAAAGUGCGGGUAUCAAACAGGAUUAGAUACCCUUGUAGUC
rnacentral:rRNA from 1 species